rnacentral:hammerhead_ribozyme from 1 species
AUCCAGCUGCAGGACGAGUCCCAAAUAGGACGAAAUGCGUAUCCUGACUGGAU